UACGUAGGGGGCGAGCGUUGUCCGGAAUGACUGGGCGUAAAGGGCGUGUAGGCGGCCAUAUAAGUCUGGGGUGAAAGUCCUGCAUUCAAUGUGGGAAUUGCUUUGGAUACUGUAAGGCUUGAGUGCGGAAGAGGUAAGUGGAAUUCCCAGUGUAGCGGUGAAAUGCGUAGAGAUUGGGAGGAACACCAGUGGCAAAGGCGACUUACCGGGCCGUAACUGACGCUGAGGCGCGAAAGCGUGGGGAGCGAAC
rnacentral:rRNA from 1 species